UUGAUGACCGUUACUCAUUGACCACAGUCAGAGUGACCAAUAAGAAUGCUAAAUUUCGCACAUUCAUUUACGCAGUAUUAUUCUCGCCCCCCAUUUUGCCGCCAUCAUCAUACAUCAGAAAAAUUGCGUUAUCUGAAAUUGGUAAAGGAACCAGGAAAUAUUAGACAGGGUAUAUAAACGUAUGAUGCCGUGAGAAGUCCAACCAUUUCCAACCAGUGAGUGUGUGAAAAACUCGAGCACUUGAGAACUGUUUGCAAGAAUUUUCCACAAUGAAAUCCGCCUAUCUCGCUCUCCUGGUGGCCUGUGUGCUGGUCUCUGCUGUCCACGGUCAGUGGUACGGACGUGGAAGAUGGGGCGGAGGAUAUGGAUUGGGCGGACUAGGAGGACUGGGCGGCCUCCUCGGUGGCGGACUUUUCAACAGAUGGGGCGGUGGUCUCGGGGGCGGAUUUCUCGGUCUCGGGCGCGGACGAUUUAACAGAUGGGGCGGUGGUCUCGGGGGCGGACUUCUUGGUCUCGGGCGCCGUCGUUUUAGGAGAAGGGGAUAUUAUUAAAAGAAAAAAUGCAGCAUGAACAUUUUGUAUAUUAAUUUAUAUUGCCAUAUCAUUAAUAUCCAUUUUACAUUAUGUUCAUAUUCGUGAUGUAAUUUGAAGAAAGCAUUCUACAUGUAUAUUUUAGAUAGAACGUACAUGUAUCACAAAAUAAUUUCAAAGUUUUGAGAUUAUGCCAUUAUAUGUUAUGUAGUUUAUUACUAUGUAAUACGUUGCUUGAUUAACAAAAAAUAAAAUGUGAAAUGACA